CCUACGGGCGGGAGCUCGACUGCAUGAGUCUCGGCGCGGUGCAGGCGAUGCAACUCGGAGUCGAUGUGCCGCGCAUAAGGCUUACGCUCCUCGUGGCAGCAUCCCUUGUCACCGCAGCCGCCGUCGCGGUCAGCGGGGUGAUAGGCUUCAUCGGCCUGGUCGUUCCCCACAUCGUGAGGCUUUGCAUCGGGCCGGGCCACCGGCGUCUGCUGCCGCUAUCGCUGCUUCUUGGCGGAGUGCUCCUGCUCAUCUCCGACACCCUGGCGCGGAGCAUCCUACCGGGGGGGCAGGAGCUUCCCGUCGGAGUGCUCACCGCCAUUUUGGGAGGACCUUUCUUUUGCCAUCUGCUAUUGCGCCGCAAGAAGAACAUCCAGCUCUGAUCCGCGUGCGCGAUCUCCACUGCGGAUACCCGAGUAGUC
rnacentral:rRNA from 1 species